rnacentral:rRNA from 1 species
UUAAGUUAUUAAGGGCGCACGGUGGAUGCCUUGGCACUAGAAGCCGAUGAAGGACGUUACUAACGACGAUAUGCUUUGGGGAGCUGUAAGUAAGCUUUGAUCCAGAGAUUUCCGAACGGGGAAACCCAGCAUGAGUUAUGUCAUGUUAUCGAUAUGUGAAUACAUAGCAUAUCAGAAGGCACACCCGGAGAACUGAAACAUCUUAGUACCCGGAGGAAGAGAAAGAAAAUUCGAUUCCCUUAGUAGCGGCGAGCGAAACGGGAAGAGCCCAAACCAACAAGCUUGCUUGUUGGGGUUGUAGGACACUCUGUACGGAGUUACAAAGGACGACAUUAGACGAAUCAUCUGGAAAGAUGAAUCAAAGAAGGUAAUAAUCCUGUAGUCGAAAAUGUUGUCUCUCUUGAGUGGAUCCUGAGUACGACGGAGCACGUGAAAUUCCGUCGGAAUCUGGGAGGACCAUCUCCUAAGGCUAAAUACUCUCUAGUGACCGAUAGUGAACCAGUACCGUGAGGGAAAGGUGAAAAGCACCCCGGAAGGGGAGUGAAAUAGAACCUGAAACCGUGUGCUUACAAGUAGUCAGAGCCCGUUAAUGGGUGAUGGCGUGCCUUUUGUAGAAUGAACCGGCGAGUUACGAUUUGAUGCAAGGUUAAGCAGUAAAUGUGGAGCCGUAGCGAAAGCGAGUCUGAAUAGGGCGUUUAGUAUUUGGUCGUAGACCCGAAACCAGGUGAUCUACCCUUGGUCAGGUUGAAGUUCAGGUAACACUGAAUGGAGGACCGAACCGACUUACGUUGAAAAGUGAGCGGAUGAACUGAGGGUAGCGGAGAAAUUCCAAUCGAACCUGGAGAUAGCUGGUUCUCUCCGAAAUAGCUUUAGGGCUAGCCUCAAGUGAUGAUUAUUGGAGGUAGAGCACUGUUUGGACGAGGGGCCCCUCUCGGGUUACCGAAUUCAGACAAACUCCGAAUGCCAAUUAAUUUAACUUGGGAGUCAGAACAUGGGUGAUAAGGUCCGUGUUCGAAAGGGAAACAGCCCAGACCACCAGCUAAGGUCCCAAAAUAUAUGUUAAGUGGAAAAGGAUGUGGCGUUGCCCAGACAACUAGGAUGUUGGCUUAGAAGCAGCCAUCAUUUAAAGAGUGCGUAAUAGCUCACUAGUCGAGUGACACUGCGCCGAAAAUGUACCGGGGCUAAACAUAUUACCGAAGCUGUGGAUUGUCCUUUGGACAAUGGUAGGAGAGCGUUCUAAGGGCGUUGAAGCAUGAUCGUAAGGACAUGUGGAGCGCUUAGAAGUGAGAAUGCCGGUGUGAGUAGCGAAAGACGGGUGAGAAUCCCGUCCACCGAUUGACUAAGGUUUCCAGAGGAAGGCUCGUCCGCUCUGGGUUAGUCGGGUCCUAAGCUGAGGCCGACAGGCGUAGGCGAUGGAUAACAGGUUGAUAUUCCUGUACCACCUAUAAUCGUUUUAAUCGAUGGGGGGACGCAGUAGGAUAGGCGAAGCGUGCGAUUGGAUUGCACGUCUAAGCAGUAAGGCUGAGUAUUAGGCAAAUCCGGUACUCGUUAAGGCUGAGCUGUGAUGGGGAGAAGACAUUGAGUCUUCGAGUCGUUGAUUUCACACUGCCGAGAAAAGCCUCUAGAUAGAAAAUAGGUGCCCGUACCGCAAACCGACACAGGUAGUCAAGAUGAGAAUUCUAAGGUGAGCGAGCGAACUCUCGUUAAGGAACUCGGCAAAAUGACCCCGUAACUUCGGGAGAAGGGGUGCUCUUUAGGGUUAACGCCCAGAAGAGCCGCAGUGAAUAGGCCCAAGCGACUGUUUAUCAAAAACACAGGUCUCUGCUAAACCGUAAGGUGAUGUAUAGGGGCUGACGCCUGCCCGGUGCUGGAAGGUUAAGAGGAGUGGUUAGCUUCUGCGAAGCUACGAAUCGAAGCCCCAGUAAACGGCGGCCGUAACUAUAACGGUCCUAAGGUAGCGAAAUUCCUUGUCGGGUAAGUUCCGACCCGCACGAAAGGCGUAACGAUUUGGGCACUGUCUCAACGAGAGACUCGGUGAAAUCAUAGUACCUGUGAAGAUGCAGGUUACCCGCGACAGGACGGAAAGACCCCGUGGAGCUUUACUGUAGCCUGAUAUUGAAAUUCGGCACAGCUUGUACAGGAUAGGUAGGAGCCUUUGAAACGUGAGCGCUAGCUUACGUGGAGGCGCUGGUGGGAUACUACCCUAGCUGUGUUGGCUUUCUAACCCGCACCACUUAUCGUGGUGGGAGACAGUGUCAAGCGGGCAGUUUGACUGGGGCGGUCGCCUCCUAAAAGGUAACGGAGGCGCUCAAAGGUUCCCUCAGAAUGGUUGGAAAUCAUUCAUAGAGUGUAAAGGCAUAAGGGAGCUUGACUGCGAGACCUACAAGUCGAGCAGGGUCGAAAGACGGACUUAGUGAUCCGGUGGUUCCGCAUGGAAGGGCCAUCGCUCAACGGAUAAAAGCUACCCCGGGGAUAACAGGCUUAUCUCCCCCAAGAGUUCACAUCGACGGGGAGGUUUGGCACCUCGAUGUCGGCUCAUCGCAUCCUGGGGCUGUAGUCGGUCCCAAGGGUUGGGCUGUUCGCCCAUUAAAGCGGUACGCGAGCUGGGUUCAGAACGUCGUGAGACAGUUCGGUCCCUAUCCGUCGUGGGCGUAGGAAAUUUGAGAGGAGCUGUCCUUAGUACGAGAGGACCGGGAUGGACAUACCUCUGGUGUACCAGUUGUCGUGCCAACGGCAUAGCUGGGUAGCUAUGUGUGGACGGGAUAAGUGCUGAAAGCAUCUAAGCAUGAAGCCCCCCUCAAGAUGAGAUUUCCCAACUUCGGUUAUAAGAUCCCUCAAAGAUGAUGAGGUUAAUAGGUUCGAGGUGGAAGCAUGGUGACAUGUGGAGCUGACGAAUACUAAUCGAUCGAAGACUUAAUCAA